rnacentral:rRNA from 1 species
AGAGCGAACGCUGGCGGCAGGCUUAACACAUGCAAGUCGAGCGGGCGUAGCAAUGCGUCAGCGGCAGACGGGUGAGUAACGCGUGGGAACAUACCUUUUGGUUCGGAACAACACAGGGAAACUUGUGCUAAUACCGGAUAAGCCCUUACGGGGAAAGAUUUAUCGCCGAAAGAUUGGCCCGCGUCUGAUUAGCUAGUUGGUGAGGUAACGGCUCACCAAGGCGACGAUCAGUAGCUGGUCUGAGAGGAUGAUCAGCCACAUUGGGACUGAGACACGGCCCAAACUCCUACGGGAGGCAGCAGUGGGGAAUAUUGGACAAUGGGCGCAAGCCUGAUCCAGCCAUGCCGCGUGAGUGAUGAAGGCCCUAGGGUUGUAAAGCUCUUUUGUGCGGGAAGAUAAUGACGGUACCGCAAGAAUAAGCCCCGGCUAACUUCGUGCCAGCAGCCGC